CGAGAAAGCCCGCAAGGGUGAGUAAAGCGGCGCACGGGUGCGUAACACGUGGGUAAUCUGCCCUGGAGUCCGGAAUAACUCGCCGAAAGGCGUGCUAAUGCCGGAUGAGACCACGGGAGCCUCGGCUCCUGCGGGAAAAGGUGGCCUCUGUAUACAAGCUAUCACUUCAGGAUGAGCCCGCGGCCCAUCAGCUCGUUGGCGGGGUAAUGGCCCACCAAGGCUACGACGGGUAGCUGAUCUGAGAGGACGAUCAGCCACACUGGAACUGAGACACGGUCCAGACUCCUACGGGAGGCAGCAGUGGGGAAUCUUGCGCAAUGGGCGAAAGCCUGACGCAGCAACGCCGCGUGUGUGAUGAAGGUCUUCGGAUCGUAAAGCACUGUCGCGAGGGACG
rnacentral:rRNA from 1 species